AGGGUGUAAACGCUGCAGACUUGGUGAUGGAAGUCCUUUGGGGGCAUUCAGUGCCGGAGAAAAGUUGUUAAGUCUGCUACUUGGGGAGUACGUCCGCAAGGAUGAAACUUAAAGGAAUUGGCGGGGGAGCACCGCAACGGGAGGAGCGUGCGGUUUAAUUGGAUUCAACACCGUAAAACUCACCAGGGAAGACUGUUACAUGAAAGCCGAGAUGAAGACUCUGCUAGAUUUUUCAGAGAGGAGGUGCAUGGCGUCAGUGACU
rnacentral:rRNA from 1 species